rnacentral:rRNA from 1 species
AGCAGCCGCGGUAAUUCCAGCUCCAAUAGCGUAUAUUAAAGUUGUUGCAGUUAAAAAGCUCGUAGUUGAAUUUCGGGAUCAAUUAGUCGGUCGUGCCUCUGGUACGUACUGGUUUUAUUGGUUCCUCCCUUCUGACGAAACAUGAUGUCAUUAAUUUGGUGUCGUGGAGAAUCAGGACUGUUACCUUGAAAAAUUAGAGUGUUUAUAGCAGGCUAACGCUUGAAUACAUUAGCAUGGAAUAAUGAAAUAGGACGUUCGACCCUAUUUUGUUGGUUUCUAGGAUCGACGUAAUGAUUAAUAGGGAUAGUUGGGGGCAUUAGUAUUCAAUUGUCAGAGGUGAAAUUCUUGGAUUUAUUGAAGACUAACUACUGCGAAAGCAUUUGCCAAGGAUGUUUUCAUUAAUCAAGAACGAAAGUUAGGGGAUCGAAGACGAUCAGAUACCGUCGUAGUCUUAACCAUAAACUAUGCCGACUAGGGAUCG